AACGUACGCUGGCGGCGCGCCUAACACAUGCAAGUCGAACGCAGUAGCAAUACUGAGUGGCAGACGGGUGAGUAACAUGUGGGAAUCUGCCUUGUGGUUCAGGACAACAUUGGGAAACCGAUGCUAAUACUGGAUAAGCCCUUACGGGGAAAGUUUUAAUGCCAUAAGAUGAGCCCGCAUUGAUUAGUUAGUUGGUGAGGUAAUGGCUCACCAAGACAAUGAUCAAUAGCUGAUCUGAGAGGAUGAUCAGCCACACUGGGACUGAGACACGGCCCAGACUCCUACGGGAGGCAGCAGUGGGGAAUCUUGCACAAUGGAGGAAACUCUGAUGCAGCGACGCCGCGUGAGUGAAGAAGGCCUUUGGGUUGUAAAGCUCUUUUGUAGGGGAAGAUAAUGACUGUACCAUAAGAAUAAGGUCCGGCUAACUUCGUGCCAGCAGCCGCUGUAA
rnacentral:rRNA from 1 species